ensembl:lncRNA
GUGACAACUCUCAACAGCAACAUGUCUGGAUCACUUCUGGAGAACAACAUCAGUGGGUCAAAAACACUUCAUGUCCACUGGAUUCAAACUGAUGAUCCUGAGUUUGUCCCAGCACUUGAUUCCAACAAUCUAGUUGAAUCUCCCAAUUUCAACAACCAGUUCACUUGGUCCCCUUUGCCAUCACCCAUGUCUUCACCUGGGCAUGACGGGUCUUUCUCUCCUGAAGGGACUGACCUUAGAACCAUUUUGAACCGACUUGGGGAGAAGAUUGAUCACACUUCAUGCCCCACCAGCAAUCAGAUAAACAUAUGCAGAGACUACACUGGCAAUGUCCACAACAUACUGAGGAGUUCCCUUCAGGCCUUCAGAC